rnacentral:rRNA from 1 species
ACUCAAAGGAAUUGACGGGGGCCCGCACAAGCGGUGGAGCAUGUGGUUUAAUUCGACGCAACGCGAAGAACCUUACCUGGGUUUGACAUGGCCUGGACCGGGGCCGAAAGGUCCCUUCCCUUCGGGGCUGGGUCACAGGUGCUGCAUGGCUGUCGUCAGCUCGUGUCGUGAGAUGUUGGGUUAAGUCCCGCAACGAGCGCAACCCUCGCCCGCUGUUGCUACCAGGUCAGGCUGGGCACUCUGCGGGGACUGCCCCGGUGAACGGGGAGGAAGGUGGGGAUGACGUCAAGUCCUCAUGGCCUUGAUAUCCAGGGCUACACACGUGCUACAAUGGGCCGGACAAUGGGUCGCGCCCGCGCAAGCGGUGGCCAAUCUCCAAAACCGGCUCCUAGUUCGGAUGGUCGGCUGCAACUCGCCGGCCUGAAGCUGGAAUCGCUAGUAAUCGGAGAUCAGCACGCUCCGGUGAAUACGUUCCCGGGCCUUGUACACACCGCCCGU